rnacentral:rRNA from 1 species
CCCUUAGAUGUUCUGGGCCGCACGCGCGCUACACUGAUGCAUUCAACGAGUCUAAAACCUGGUCUGAUAGGGCUGGGUAAUCUUUUGAAUGUGCAUCGUGAUUGGGAUAGAUGAUUGCAAUUCUUCAUCUUCAACGAGGAAUGCCUAGUAAACGCAAGUCAUCAGCUUGCAUUGAUUACGUCCCUGCCCUUUGUACACACCGCCCGUCGCUCCUACCGAUUGAAUGUUCCGAUGAAUACCGUGGACUGAGAGUAUGAAUGGGUUCGCCUAUUUCUGCUUCUCGGGAAGUGGAGUAAAUCUUAACAUUUAGAGGAAGGAGAAGUCGUAACA